GAAUUUUAUAUAUUUAAAUAAAUUUUGAUAGUAAGUAAUUUUAUUUAAAUAUAUUUUAUUGGGAGGAUAUUUAAAUUUAAUAAACUUUUUAAGUUGAGAUAAAGAUACCAUAAAUUAAUGAAAAUAAAGAAUAAUUUAAUUUUUUUUAAAUUAUUUAAGAAUUAAUUACCUUAGGGAUAACAGCGUAAUAUUAUUGGAAAGAUCAUAUUUAUAUUAAUGUUUGC
rnacentral:rRNA from 1 species